rnacentral:rRNA from 1 species
UGGGGAAUAUUGGACAAUGGGCGAAAGCCUGAUCCAGCCAUGCCGCGUGAGUGAUGAAGGCCUUAGGGUUGUAAAGCUCUUUCAGUGGGGAAGAUAAUGACGGUACCCACAGAAGAAGCCCCGGCUAACUUCGUGCCAGCAGCCGCGGUAAUACGAAGGAGGCUAGCGUUGUUCGGAUUUACUGGGCGUAAAGCGCACGUAGGCGGAUCGUUAAGUCGGGGGUGAAAUCCUGGAGCUCAACUCCAGAACUGCCUUCGAUACUGGCGAUCUUGAGUCCGGAAGAGGUGAGUGGAACUCCUAGUGUAGAGGUGAAAUUCGUAGAUAUUCGGAAGAACACCAGUGGCGAAGGCGACUAACUGGACAUGUAUUGACGCUGAGGUGCGAAAGCGUGGGGAGCAAA